rnacentral:rRNA from 1 species
GUGAGGAAUAUUGGUCAAUGGGCGAGAGCCUGAACCAGCCAAGUCGCGUGAAGGAAGAAGGAUCUAUGGUUCGUAAACUUCUUUUGCAGGGGAAUAAAGUGCAGGACGUGUCCUGUUUUGUAUGUGCCCUGAGAAUAAGGAUCGGCUAACUCCGUGCCAGCAGCCGCGGUAAUACGGAGGAUCCGAGCGUUAUCCGGAUUUAUUGGGUUUAAAGGGUGCGUAGGUGGUUUGAUAAGUCAGCGGUGAAAGUUUGCAGCUUAACUGUAAAAAUGCCGUUGAAACUGUCGGACUUGAGUGUAAAUGAGGUAGGCGGAAUGCGUGGUGUAGCGGUGAAAUGCAUAGAUAUCACGCAGAACUCCGAUUGCGAAGGCAGCUUACUAAGCUACAACUGACACUGAAGCACGAAAGCGUGGGGAUCAAACAGGAUUAGAUACCCUUGUAGUCC